rnacentral:rRNA from 1 species
GAUGAACGCUGGCGGCGUGCCUAAUACAUGCAAGUCGAGCGAACGGACGAGAAGCUUGCUUCUCUGAUGUUGGCGGCGGACGGGUGAGUAACACGUGGAUAACCUACCUAUAAGACUGGGAUAACUUCGGGAAACCGGAGCUAAUACCGGAUAAUAUUUUGAACCGCAUGGUUCAAAAGUGAAAGACGGUCUUGCUGUCACUUAUAGAUGGAUCCGCGCUGCAUUAGCUAGUUGGUAAGGUAACGGCUUACCAAGGCAACGAUGCAUAGCCGACCUGAGAGGGUGAUCGGCCACACUGGAACUGAGCCACGGUCCAGACUCCUACGGGAGGCAGCAGUAGGGAAUCUUCCGCAAUGGGCGAAAGCCUGACGGGGCAACGCCGCGUGAGUGAUGAAGGUCUUCGGAUCGUAAAACUCUGUUAUUAGGGAAGAACAUAUGUGUAAGUAACUGUGCACAUCUUGACGGUACCUAAUCAGAAAGCCACGGCUAACUACGUGCCAGCAGCCGCGGUAAUACGUAGGUGGCAAGCGUUAUCCGGAAUUAUUGGGCGUAAAGCGCGCGUAGGCGGUUUUUUAAGUCUGAUGUGAAAGCCCACGGCUCAACCGUGGAGGGUCAUUGGAAACUGGAAAACUUGAGUGCAGAAGAGGAAAGUGGAAUUCCAUGUGUAGCGGUGAAAUGCGCAGAGAUAUGGAGGAACACCAGUGGCGAAGGCGACUUUCUGGUCUGUAACUGACGCUGAUGUGCGAAAGCGUGGGGAUCAAACAGGAUUAGAUACCCUGGUAGUCCACGCCGUAAACGAUGAGUGCUAAGUGUUAGGGGGUUUCCGCCCCUUAGUGCUGCAGCUAACGCAUUAAGCACUCCGCCUGGGGAGUACGACCGCAAGGUUGAAACUCAAAGGAAUUGACGGGGACCCGCACAAGCGGUGGAGCAUGUGGUUUAAUUCGAAGCAACGCGAAGAACCUUACCAAAUCUUGACAUCCUUUGACAACUCUAGAGAUAGAGCCUUCCCCUUCGGGGGACAAAGUGACAGGUGGUGCAUGGUUGUCGUCAGCUCGUGUCGUGAGAUGUUGGGUUAAGUCCCGCAACGAGCGCAACCCUUAAGCUUAGUUGCCAUCAUUAAGUUGGGCACUCUAAGUUGACUGCCGGUGACAAACCGGAGGAAGGUGGGGAUGACGUCAAAUCAUCAUGCCCCUUAUGAUUUGGGCUACACACGUGCUACAAUGGACAAUACAAAGGGCAGCGAAACCGCGAGGUCAAGCAAAUCCCAUAAAGUUGUUCUCAGUUCGGAUUGUAGUCUGCAACUCGACUACAUGAGGCUGGAAUCGCUAGUAAUCGUAGAUCAGCAUGCUACGGUGAAUACGUUCCCGGGUCU